rnacentral:lncRNA from 1 species
AUGUACCCGGUGUUGUUUGUGUCAUUCCUCACAGGUUUCUUAAUUUGCAUACAACUAGAAGUUGAAACUUUCUGCAAGUAGACUCUCAUUUUAGAAAUGGAAUUCUUUCAAGGAGUCAAUCAGGCAUUGGGUCUAUUAUUGGAGUCAUGGACAUUGGUCAACUUUUAGAAAUUCUUGACAUGCUUGUAAAGUGUUUGAGAUUAAGUAUAAUUUUUGCUCAAGUCUUUAUUUUAUUUCUCAGGAAUUUGGCCCGAGUCUGAAAGCUUUAGAGAUGAGGGUAUGGGAGACAUUCCAUCUCGUUGGAGAGGCAAUAUGUCAAGGAGGAGAAAAGUUCAAUCACUCCCAUUGCAAUAGACUUUGUUAAGAAUCUCUUUUCAUUAUCGAGAAAUCCAAGAAUCUUUCAGUAGCCAAGCAUCAAAUGUGGGUUGAUAGUUGAUACUAGCUUUUGAUAAAAGUCUCUUCCUCUCUUUUUCUUAUUUUUUUAAUAUAAUUUUUUUAUGUUACUCCCCGAGAUGCUUCAGGACAUGGUACUCAUACAUCAUCCACUGCAGCCGGUGGUUUUAUAGAAAAUGCAAGUUUUAUGGGAGUUGCUUUAGGAUUGGCAAGAGGAGGUGCUCCAUCAUCUUGGUUAGCUAUUUACAAAGUUUGUUGGGCUACUGGUGGCUGCAUCAUCUUGGUUAUGUGUUGAAGAACAUCCUCAAGUUGUAAUGUAUGCAAUUGCUCAUGCCCUAGAAGCUGUGAAGUGAAAUAGGCUAGAAAUGUAUUUUUGUGCUCC